CAUAUUACGUUGAAACACUGGUUCUCGUCUGAUCACCGAAGUUAAGUAACGUCGAGCCUUGUCAGUGCCUAGAUGGGUGACCGCUUGGGAAUAUCAAGUGCUGCAAGC